GAUGAACGCUAGCGGCAGGCCUAACACAUGCAAGUCGAGGGGUAACAGGGAGUGCUUGCACUCUGCUGACGACCGGCGCACGGGUGCGGAACGCGUAUGGAACCUGCCCCUGUCAGGGGAAUAGCCCAGAGAAAUUUGGAUUAAUGCCCCAUGGUAUCGAACCACCGCAUGGUGGUUUGAUUAAAGAUUUAUCGGACAGGGAUGGCCAUGCGUACCAUUAGCUGGUUGGUGAGGUAACGGCUCACCAAGGCAACGAUGGUUAGGGGCCCUGAGAGGGGGAUCCCCCACACUGGUACUGAGACACGGACCAGACUCCUACGGGAGGCAGCAGUGAGGAAUAUUGGACAAUGGCCGGAAGGUUGAUCCAGCCAUGCCGCGUGCAGGAUGACGGCCCUAUGGGUUGUAAACUGCUUUUACAUGGGAAGAAACCUCCCCUCGUGAGGGGAGCUGACGGUACCAUGAGAAUAAGGACCGGCUAACUCCG
rnacentral:rRNA from 1 species